UAGUACAAAAUGAAAACUUAUGAAUUGUUUAUUUCUGGAAUUUUUCAUUUAAUAUUUUCAGAUGAUGGUUCAGGUCAAGUAACAGAAACUAUAGAUAAAGGGGGCUACUCUACUACACAAUACGAAGAUUCUGCCUGAGUGCCUUCAAGCUGGGAUUUUGUCUUCCCCUGUCUUCUGUUUCGUACUUGGAAUGGAACUAUACCAUCAGCUCUCCUGGGCCCCCAAGCUUGCUGACAGCAGGUCUUGGAACUUCUCAGUCUCUAAAAUUGAUAUGUGAUCCUUAAGCACCGAAGUGAAUAAACGUUAUAAUGGGAUGCAAAUUAAGCAGUUUGAUAUUUCCUUAAGAUCUUCAAAAAGAGAAAAGCCAUCUGCCCCGAUGAUAGAUGUUCCUCUCCUGAAGGCACUGAAUGAUCUUCAAGACCCAGCUAAAGAAUUCCUUCAUAAAAAAUUAUUUCGGAAGAUGGCGUGGUAGGAGCAACUCAGGAUUGCAGCUCUCAGUGAAGCCGCAGAGGGUGAGUGCAAGCCGCAUUCCCAGAUGGAUCUUUGUUGCCCACAGAACGGGGAAAUUCCCAGGUGUAGGAGAGACAUGGGACGCCAGCGCAGCUGUUUCGGUCGGUGCGGCCAUUUCAACCAGCGCCGCAGCACAGCGGCACUCCACACAAAACGCACUGGUCUGUGUGCCCUGUUAAACCUGC
rnacentral:lncRNA from 1 species